rnacentral:rRNA from 1 species
UGGGGAAUAUUGCACAAUGGGCGCAAGCCUGAUGCAGCCAUGCCGCGUGUGUGAAGAAGGCCUUCGGGUUGUAAAGCACUUUCAGCGGGGAGGAAGGCGUUAAGGUUAAUAACCUUUGCUCAUUGACGUUACCCGCAGAAGAAGCACCGGCUAACUCCGUGCCAGCAGCCGCGGUAAUACGGAGGGUGCAAGCGUUAAUCGGAAUUACUGGGCGUAAAGCGCACGCAGGCGGUUUGUUAAGUCAGAUGUGAAAUCCCCGGGCUCAACCUGGGAACUGCAUCUGAUACUGGCAAGCUGGAGACUCGUAGAGGGGGGUAGAAUUCCAGGUGUAGCGGUGAAAUGCGUAGAGAUCUGGAGGAAUACCGGUGGCGAAGGCGGCCCCCUGGACGAAGACUGACGCUCAGGUGCGAAAGCGUGGGGAGCAAACAGG